rnacentral:rRNA from 1 species
AUUAAACUGAAGAGUUUGAUCAUGGCUCAGAUUGAACGCUGGCGGCAUGCCUAACACAUGCAAGUCGAACGGAAACGAUGCUAGCUUGCUAGCAGGCGUCGAGUGGCGGACGGGUGAGUAAUGUAUAGGAACUUGCCUAGUAGUGGGGGACAACUUAUGGAAACGUAAGCUAAUACCGCAUAAUCUCUACGGAGGAAA